GAAAUGCGAUAAGUAAUGUGAAUUGCAGAAUUCAGUGAAUCAUCGAAUCUUUGAACGCACCUUGCGCUCCUUGGUAUUCCUUGGAGCAUGCCUGUUUGAGUAUCAUGAAAUCUUCAAAGUAAAUCUUUUGUUAACUCAAUUGGUUUCUACUUUGGUAUUGGAGGUCUUUGCAGCUUCACACCUGCUCCUCUUUGUUCAUUAGCUGGAUCUCAGUGUUAUGCUUGGUUCCACUCGGCGUGAUAAGUUAUCUAUCGCUGAGGACACUGUAAAAGGUGGCCAAGGUAAAUGCAGAUGAACCGCUUCUAAUAGUCCAUUGACUUGACAAUACUUUUAUGAUCUGAUCUCAAAUCAGGUAGGACUACCCGCUGAACUUAAGC
rnacentral:misc_RNA from 1 species